GACAGCCAGUGGAUGUACGGUUCCACUGCGCUGGGGCGGUGCGAGGAAGAAUAUGCAAGCCGCCAGUAGGCGGAGCGCUGUUCCACCCCCGCUGAUCGAGCUCGUCCUCUGAACCCCACCCUUGCUUUUUGCGCACCCUUUGUUUCCUCGGCAGGCUUGCCUGCCAGUAGGACCUUUUAAAACCCUUUGCAGUUGCAGUCAGCGUCAGCAACAACGUAAUCGUUACAACUUUCAACAACGGAUCUCUUGGUUCUGGCAUCGAUGAAGAACGCAGCGAAAUGCGAUAAGUAGUGUGAAUUGCAGAAUUCAGUGAAUCAUCGAAUCUUUGAACGCACAUUGCGCCCCUUGGUAUUCCAUGGGGCAUGCCUGUUCGAGCGUCAUUUGUACAAUCCAGCCUUGCUGGGUGUUGGGUGUUUGUUCCGCUGCGCGCGCGAACUCGCCUCAAAUACAUUGGCAGCCGGCCGUCCUGGGUGGGAGCGCAGCACAUACCGCGCGUCUGCCUGGGGACGGUGGCGUCCACAAGUCAACCUUCACGCUUGACCUCGGAUCAGGUAGGGAUACCCGCUGAACUUAAGCAUAUCAAUAAGCGGAGGAAAAGAAACCAACAGGGAUUGCCCCAGUAACG
rnacentral:rRNA from 1 species